GAACAACCAGCCCUCUCCAGAUCCGAGAGGGCCCUACACAAUCUUCCUUGGAUGGCCCGUCUGCGGGAACCUUGGAUUCCCCUUUCCUUCGGACAGCUGAAGGACGACAGUAGAGGGAAAAAGGAAUCGCUCUUAGAAACAAACAAACCAAAAAUAGUCCGGGCGCCGUGCCCCGGAGCGUUUCCGAGGCUGGCCGGGCGCGGCGGCUUUACCGUGGUCCAGCCUCUUCGCUAUCCGGCGGGUGGCGCCCUGCUCGCCCCCCCGGGCCGAGGCCCGCGUCCCCGCCGCACAGGCGCGGCGCGGCGCCUGCCAGCCUCUCUGCGUGCGUCUUGGAGCGCGGCGGCCCGCUCCAUCCGCUCGCCCCUGCGAGGAAGCGCCGGCCGAGGCCCCUCCCCGCCCCGUCCGCGGUUAGGAGCCGGCGCGCUGGCCGGGGCGGGGGUAUCAGGGCAGCGGGCGCGCCCCAUCCCUUCCACUCCUUGGCGGGACGACUGCCCGGGCUCACUGCUGUCCCGGGAGACCACUCCCGAUCCGUGGCUUCCGUCUCGCCUUCCCUGAACACCUAGCUUGUACCAGCGUGGCGCUGGGGAAGCAUUUGUGGAGACAGGGCAACGUCUGGAGGUAAAAGCGACGCAAAAUGCUGGGGGGAGCUCUAAGAAGCAGGAAGGGGCAAAAGAGUUAGUUUUCUGGGCUCCUUUCUCUCACUGACCCCAGAUUACUACAGAUUACUGGGGGUGCCAGUAUGCCCAUUUUACGGAACGACAGAGAGAUCAAAUGGCUUCCCUGUGGCCAUUUAAUGCCAAACGUGGCACACCAAGCUUCUGCCUCAUCCCAGCUCCUCGGGUGAAAAGGCUUACCUCCGCCCAGGAGUGUGGGCAGCGGCUUAACCGUUGCCUUGGAAGUGUGUGGUCACUGUUAGCUGCUGACAGCUGAGGGAGAAAAGUCCAUCUUUUGCUUAGUUUGCAUCAGCAUCAUAACGUACCAUCCCGGUCAUCUUCCAUGGAAAGGAGGAAGGGGAAAUUUGAUUCCUUGAGAGAAUAACUCAGGUUGGUGCUGUUAGAAUUCCCAUUUUACAAAGAGAGAAAGUGAAGACCAGUGAGGUUAAGUAACUUGCCCAGGGUCACCCAGCAGCUGAUAAAUAGGGGAGCUAAUGACAGAAACCACACAGUCUGGGUCCAGGACCUGAGUCCCAACCAUCUUUGGUUAGAAGAUGAAGAGGACUGAUCGCAGCAUCAGGUUCAAUAAGCCUGGAACCGGAGAGGUCUUAAGGUUGAAAGGAGGAGGCCAGAGGUCGCCGCCAUCAAAAUCGUCCCUUCUGAGCUUCUGUGGCUGCUGGGUGGGUCCUGAGGCCUCACAUGCGUCCAUCAGUGUGCCCAGGAGGUUAAGCAGAGAAGCCUCUUCAAAAAUGCCUUCCCUUCAAAGUACCUGCUGGUGGCAAAACAUCUCUACUUUUCCGCGUGGGAAUAAGGGGCCAGUGGGAUGUAGAUGAGCCACCAAAGGCCCGACAGAUUGAGCCCUGAGCUGUCGCGGGUUUCCCCCGGCCAGGGGCUCCGCCACCUUCCGAUCCCCUUGGAAGACCCCGAAGGAGAAAUGUCGGGAAGGAAAUUAGAAACUGGAACUCUGACUCUGGGAAGACAGAACCUGACUGCGCCGGGCGGGGCGCGCGGGUCUGCGCCAGGCAGUUGGGCCCCAAGCUGGGGCGGGGGACGCACGCGACCGGCCCCAGGAGGGCGAGGCGCAGGGGCCGCUGCGAGUCCCGCGUUUAGGGCACUGGCGUCUCUCGUUCCGCGGUCUCCUUGUGUCUGUAAUUAAAACACCAGGAAAUGACUUGGAGCCCGAGAAGUUCGCUCUGUGAGCCGGGUUUUCUCAAUCCUUGCGGAGAUGGAGCGGAUGUGGAAACCAGCCCUGCGCCCCCGGAUUCAGGUUCCUGUCCUGGAGCUGCUUGCAUGAUCCCGGGACCAUCCACCCACUGGGCCUUCGCGGCGCCAACAGACUUUAAGUGUAGGGAGAUACAGAGCAUAUUGAACACAGAUUCAUUGCCAGUGUCACCGAAUUCAUUGGAGCCAUGGGUCAUUUUGUGGUUAUGUGUGUUGUUUUUAGUCCAAAGAUACUAAAAUCAUAACUACUCAUCCUGAGGGUUUCUGGGAAAUUUUGGAGAUUGAAAUACCUGAAAAUUCUGGUAAUCCCUGUUCAAGUGAGUCAAUUAAAAAGAAUUUGUUUACCCACACCCCCAGGUAGAAUCACAGGAAAGUCAAUGGAGAAGUAUGCUCAGUCUCUCCAGUUCUGUUUGGAAACUCAAACCCUCCUCCCCGUGUUUUCAGUUGCAAAUUAGAAAUCACAUUAAUUGCCCUAAAAUGUAGCAAUUUGCCUUAUGCAGAAGUUUGUUUUUGAAUCAAGAUUUGCUUCAGUUUUCUUCCCUAGACGGUGUUAGCUGAUAUCAUGGAACUAUUAAACAAAAAACCCAACUGA